AACGAACGCUGGCGGCAGGCCUAACACAUGCAAGUCGAACGCUGUAGCAAUACAGAGUGGCAGACGGGUGAGUAACGCGUGGGAACAUACCCUUCGGUUCGGAAUAACUCAGGGAAACUUGAGCUAAUACCGGAUACGUGCGAGAGCAGAAAGAUUCAUCGCCGAAGGAUUGGCCCGCGUUCGAUUAGCUUGUUGGUGAGGUAAUGGCUCACCAAGGCGACGAUCGAUAGCUGGUCUGAGAGGAUGAUCAGCCACAUUGGGACUGAGACACGG
rnacentral:rRNA from 1 species